rnacentral:misc_RNA from 1 species
CGAACCAUCUUUAGAUGGUUUAGAGUUGCUUUCACUUUGAACAUUGUUCCACCAUACGAAGUUUUGAAAUGCUCAAAAUGGGGAUUCUUUUGAAGGAAGGUCAAUCCAGGUGACCACCGUGCCCGUACAAUCUAUUGGGCAAGUUUAACAUUAAUUUAAGUCCAGAGUAGGUGGUGGACGUCUGGAAUAUAUUCAUCAAAAUCCUCUACAAAGCCUAUUUGAUAGUCCACGCCAUCAAGCAAAGCAAGCCAGCAGCCUCUGCUUACCAAGUCAUUGAAUAUGAACCGUGCUUUCAGCAGUCAAGACUGUACAAUCUUUGCCGUCCAUAUCAAUUAUUAAACAAUUCACUGUAGCAGCUUUCAAAAUCUUAUAUACAAACAAGGACAAAAUGUAGAAAAACCACAAAUAAAUAAAUAAAGCAUAGAUUACUUCUGCACGGAACUGAGAAAUAGAGAUGCCACCAGAUAAUCUUGAUCUCAA